GGAGACUCAAAACUGUCCCCGCCAGGGGCCCCCGGCGGAGGGACACCUGGCACCGUCUGCACGACAGCAGCUGGCUGGAUCACGCCUUCCUGGAAAAACAGUUGGCAACUGGCUUCAGUUUCAGGACCACACCCUUGGGCAACAGCAGUGGGUACGGAGUUUCACUCCCCAGUUCCGAGCUGCCUGUCCCCAGGCCUGGCUCUGAGCUGACCUCAGCGGCUCCCGUCACACCUCCUACCCCUCUGGCGCCGUCAGCUCUGCGCCACAGCUCCUCCUGGAUGGACGGCAGGCUGGCCUAUUGAGAAUAAGAACACACAGAUCCAGCACAUGUCAGACUCUGGCAAAAAGAACAGGGCUUCCUGGAUUUGAGGGGCCUUUCCCGGACAGUCUUGAGAAAUCUUUCUAAGGUUUCUCCUGCAGGACACAAAAUUUCUACAAAGACUACAUUCCAAUCACAGCCUCUAGAAAUGCAUUUGACCCACCACUUAUCGAAGGCUGUGGAGCCAC